rnacentral:lncRNA from 1 species
GUCACCACAGAUCGCCAAGCAUGGGUGCAGCAAAGUGCUCUGGAAUCACCAAGUGUGGGCUUCCCUGGGAGCGCAGACGGUGAAGGAGCCACCUGCCAUGCGGGAGGCCUGGGUUCCAUCCCUGGGUCGGGAAGAUCCCCUGUAGGAGGGACUGGUGACCCACUCCAGGAUUCUUGCCUGGAGAAUCCCAUGGGCAGAGGAGCCUGGUGGGCUACAGUCCAUGGGGUCGCAAAACAGUCAGACACGACUGAGCGACUGAGCGCAGAGCACCGAGUGGAGUUCCCGUUAGCUGUCUGUUUUAUACAUAGGAGCCCACAUGGCUUGAUUGUCUUGUAAUUCUGUGGCUCAGAAGUCUGACGUGGAUGUCACCGAGCUGCAGUCAAGCUUCUGAUCUGCUUCCUUUUAGCAGGCGCUGGGGAAGCCUCUGCUCACCUGCCCUUUCCAGCCUCAGGAGGCUGCCCGUGUUUCUGGCACAUGGCCUCUCAGUCUCCAAACGCAGCAGUGUUGCUUCUGUCUGUGCUUUUCUUCGGUCGUCAGGUCGUCCCCUGGCUGACUUCUGCCUUCCUCUCCUGUUUCUAAGGGCCCUUGUGAUGAUGUUAGGCCCACGAGGAUAAUCCAGGAUAAUUUCCCCCUCUCCAGGUUUUUUAACCUAAUCAUUUCUGCAAAGUCUCUUGCCAUGUAAGAGGACACUGUCACAGGUUCUGAGGAUUAGGACGUAGACAUGUUUGUAGGGGAGUGAACAUUUUGUCUACCACAGAAACCUAGAAAAAGGGAUGUUUUUCUCUUGGUGGAUUAAAUGUUUUGCUAGUUUGGAUUUUUUAAAACAAUCCCUUUUUCACAUGGGUUUUCCCAUCACCAUAAAACCCAACAUUGCGAGCCACGUGGCAGAGCAGUUCUCCUGGGUUUCCUUACCCUACUGCUCUCCACCCAGGUGCCCUUUCCCAAUAAAAUCUCUUGCUUUGUCAGCACAUGUGUCUCCUCGGACAAUUCAUUUCCGAGUGUUGGACCAGAGCCCAGUUUCGGGCCCGGGAAGGAUUCCCUCUUCCUGCAACAAAUGGCGACUGGUGGGACUCUUCUUCACUGCAGCUGACAUCCUGUCCACUCGGGGUACUCAGGGGCCAGCUUGCCUGCCAAUGGACCAGACCCAGCGGCCACAACUGGGACCCUUUUGUGCCUGGUCUCCUCCUGACGUGGACAACUGGCCAGAGUGCCCUGACCACCACAUCACUGACCAUGCCCUGCUGGAUCUGCCCUUCCUUCAACUCCCUGGGGAGAUGCCCUCUGCCCUCCGAGAGCAGCUGGACCACACAUUCUGAAGACACCAGUAGUCCUAGUUUUGGCCCCUCAUACACAGACCUGCAGGUCGUCAGUGCUGGGGAGCAGAGUGGCCUGGCUUCGGGGGCCGACUCAACAGACAAUUCCUCAUCUCUUCAGGAGGAUGAAGAGGUAGAGAUGGAGGCCAUCAGCUGGCAGGCCGGCAGCCCGGCCAUGAAUGGGCACCCCACCACGCCAGUGACCUCUGCGCGUUUCCCCAGCUGGGUCACUUUUGAUGACAAUGAAGUCAGUGGCCCUUUGUCCCCCAUCACGUCUCCUCUGAAGCCAGAAACACUGCCUCUCACCUCUGUGAUCCCAGACGGACCUUGCAACUCAACAGGGUCAUUUAAGAAGCGGGAACGGCCCAGGAGCACUUUGAUGAACUUCUCCAAAGUUCAGAAGCUAGACGUGUCCUCCGUAAGCCAUCCGCCUGCCGUGCCCGAGGCUCCACCUUGGAGGGCCACCAAUCCUUUUCUGAAUGAGACGCUACAGGAUGUACAGCCCUCCCCCAUCAACCCUUUCCGGGCUUUCUUUGAGGAGCAGGAGAGGCGAGCCCAGAACAGUUCUGUGUCCGGUACCCCAGGCAAGAGCCAGAGAGAUUCCCUCAUCGUCGUCUACCAGGACGCCAUCAGUUUUGAUGACUCGAGCCGAAACCAGUCACACUCGGAUGCUGUGGAAAAACUCAAGCGGCUCCAAAUCGAGGAUUCCGACCACUUUGGGGGUGGGACACUCCCUGAUGAUGACCCAGCCGCCUGGGCUGAACUGGAUGCCCACCCGGCAGGCUCUGAGCAGUCCCCACCCAGGGACGGCUGGCCCAUGAUGCUUAGGAUCCCUGAGAAGAAGAACAUCAUGUCGUCCAGGCACUGGGGACCCAUCUACGUCAAACUGACGGACGGUGGGUACCUGCAGCUCUAUUACGAGCAGGGCCUGGAGAGGCCGUUCCGUGAGUUCAAGCUGGAGAUGUGCCAUGAGAUUUCCGAACCCCGGCUCCAAAACUACGACGAGAAUGGUAGGAUCCACAGCUUGCGGAUAGACCGCGUCACCUACAAGGAGAAGAAGAAGUACCAGCCUAAACCCGCCGUGGCCCACUUGGCCGAGAGGGAGCAGGUCAUCAAGCUGGGCACCACCAACUACGAGGACUUCCUGAGCUUCAUCCGUGCGGUUCAGGACCGCCUCAUGGAGCUGCCGGUGUUGUCAACGGAGCUGAGCACGGUCGGCCUGAACUACCUGGAAGAGGAAAUGACGGUGGAUGUCCAAGAUGAAUUCUCCGGCCUCGUGAGCAAGGGAAACAACCAGAUCCUCCAGCACAGUGUCCUGACGCGGAUCCACGUGCUGAGCUUCCUCUCGGGCCUGGCCGAGUGCCGGCUGGGCCUCAACGACGUCCUGGUCAAAGGGAACGAGGUGGUGUCCCGCCAGGACAUCGUGCCCACCACCACCGCUAAGUGGAUCCGGCUCCACGAGUGCCGCUUUCACGGCUGCGUGGAUGAGGACGUGUUCCGCGGCUCGCGCGUCAUCCUCUUCAACCCUCUAGAUGCCUGCCGCUUCGAGCUCAUGCGGUUCCGGACAGUGUUCGCCGAGAAGACCUUGCCCUUCACGCUCAGGACGGCGGCGAGCAUCCACGGGGCGGAGGUGGAGGUGCAGAGCUGGCUGAGGAUGUCGGCGGGCUUCUCCUCCAACUGGGACCCCCUCACCCAGGUCCCCUGCGAGAACGUGAUGGUCCGCUACCCCGUGCCCAGCGAGUGGGUGAAAAACUUCCGCAGGGAAAGUGUCCUGGGAGAGAAGUCUCUGAAAGCCAAAGUGAACCGGGGGGCAAGUUUUGGCUCAGCCAGCGUCUCCGGCUCUGAGCCGGUCAUGAGAGUCACCCUGGGGACUGCCAAGUACGAGCAUGCCUUCAAUGCCAUCGUGUGGAGGAUAAACCGACUGCCUGACAAAAACUCAGCUUCUGGUCACCCACACUGUUUCUUCUGCCACCUUGAACUUGGCUCGGACCGGGAAGUGCCUUCCAGAUUUGCCAAUCACGUGAACGUCGAGUUCAGCAUGCCUACAACGUCUGCCUCCAAAGCUGCUGUGAGAUCCAUCUCUGUGGAAGACAAGACUGACGUCAGGAAGUGGGUCAAUUAUUCUGCACACUACAGCUACAAGGUGGAAAUUGAGCAAAAAAAGAGUUUGAAGCUGGACUUGGACGGAGACAACAUGGAAAAUCCCAAGGAGUGCGGGGUCCAGUGAUGAGGCUGUCUUGCAGGGGUUCCUGACCCAAGUGGCACAAUAGGAUGUCUUCCUGAAUAGCUGAAAUUCAA